CCCUCCAUGUACAUGACGUGCGGGUUGCAAAUACUUUUGUCUCGGUGUGGAAAAGCAGGCUGGAGAAAGCGUGUGAUCCCACGUGGUCAAGAACCUAGGUUUUUCUGGGACUGAGAAUAUUCCUUUCAGCUGUGUGAGAAGUUUUCAUCUGAGACAAAUGAAAAAUAUUCCAUCCCCUUCCCACUCCCCAUUUUACCAACUCUGUCAAGAACAAGAGGAAUGAGACUUGGAGAGAAACUGUCCCAAAAAGGUCAACCAUUUCAACAUGUCCAAAGCAUUGAGCGAUUUCCAGUGAAUUAUAUUCCUUAAGGAAAGGCAGAGAUGUGGGGACAAGAACUGAAGGUGUGACUCUAGCUGAGGUCACCACAAACAGCAACAGCUGUCCAGCCUUAGGCUGAGCAAAUUCCACCUCAGAGAAACUACACAAGGAAAUGCAUCCACCAAAUGAUAAGAGCAAACAGCCAUUGUAAGCACAUCUUUUCUAUGAGCCUCAUAAAGUGCUUUACCUGAACUUAUAACGCUCUUGAAAUCAGCUUUAGGUCAAACAUAGCUCAUGCAAAUUUCAGCCUGCAACUUUCUGUCCAAAAUUAACACAGUUGUUGUUGCCUGGUAGGGAUGUUAAAGACGGUAUGAAUCUGCCUUUCAAGUCUGAGUCAUUGUGACAAACCACACAAAGUCACUGCUUCUAGUUCUGAGGAAAAAGACCUUGCAUAUUUGCCAUCUAGUUCAAACCUUUCCAAAACAUUCUUAUGGAGGUGCUACCUUGGGGAAAAUAUGGUUGGGCAUAUUUGUUGUUUGGGCAGCAACCCCUUUCAAUUCUAGGUCUUAAAAACUAGUUCUGUCAUGAUAAAUAAAUCCUUUGUGGAGAAGGCUGAUUAAGCCUUAAUUUGCAAAGAUUAAUGCAGCCACACAAUACCAGCAUUCAAGAGGUUUUUUCUGUCCUGCCAAUGAGGGUAGUUCUGCUGGGCUGGGCUGUGCCAUGAAUAUUGCUCAACUGGUUUGUUUGGUGAAUGGACACCAUAUCACUGAUGAAGCUGCACUUUCACCUGUGAUAAGAAUGGUAAAGCCAAACUCUCACAAACAGGUAGCAGACUUAAAUAUUAAGUUAAUUUGUUAGUCCCACACUCUGUAUUUUAAAAGUGCACACUUGGAGAAAGUCUGAAAGCUGUUGUCUUCUCACUAAUCAUUGAAAUGAGACACUGCUUCAUAUAGUGAAAACAUGCCAAAAAGGAAGAAUCUGUUUUAACAUUUGCUGCUACUAUGAAGUUUUAUCAGACAGGGAUGACACCAGAUGGCAUUUCUCACCCUUCAGGUGCAACCUGAGUCAGUGGCAGAGUAACAGAUCUCCUCCAUUGUUAUCCAGACAUCUCCUCUUCCCACCCUUCUGUAUCAAUUUUUCCUUACCUCCUGUAACUCACCACUAGAGGUAAUAUAAGCUACUCAGCCCAAUGUCAUGACGGAGGUAGAAGAUAAGAUGAUAAAAAGACAGCAGGUUGCGAUUUAAAUGGGAAAUCUUAUCAGGUGAUCUAUCCAAAUGUUACAUGGAACUUUAAUUUAAAGCUCAUAAUGAUCCUGACUUUUUGGGAAAGAAAAAAGGCUGGAGUGCUUCAUUUCAGAGGUGAACUCCUGUUACAUCCUGGAGCCCAGAAGCUGAGGAGAACACGUGGGACUUGAUACCUGAUUUUUACUGUUACAUUUCAGAAAAUCCUUACAGCUUAAAACAAGCAUGCCACAUACACAGUAGUGAAAAAGCCAGUAUAUAUUGCCCUGCCCAGCUUCCUGCCCAGCACUAUUCAUCUGCACCUUACUCAGCUGCAGGACAACCACCAUGCAUUAAAAGAACCACAAACAAACUAACAAACAAGCUUUAUUCAUGGAAUACUUCUGCAUAUUUUACUGUCAGGAGACAAGGAUUGCUGGGCACCAUUAGUGCCAUUAGAAAUUCAGCUCAUCACCUCACUAUUAUUCAGUGUCAUGGUAACAAUUUAGCACAGCCACACAGCACUUGCAGACCUUGCAUGUUCUGGAGUUUCCCCAGACCCUUCCUAAUGCACACAUACAAACACACUCAAAUCCAGGCCUCCCACCUUUCGUUCAACUAAACAUACUCUAAAAAAUAAUAAUAAUAAAAUCAAAUGUUGGCCACACACGACCAUUUUAGGAAAAAAAAAAUCCCUUUAUUCUCCAACACAAGGCAGAUCUUUGAAAAAGUAAAUGUUGUGCUAUUUUAUAUCUACAGGAUAUAAAGGAUAUCAUGUAUCACAUCCAUAAUAUUUAACUUGUACUCAAAGCACACAAUGCUGUCAACAAACAUUUAUGAUUUAAAAGAAAAUAAAAAAUCCACAAUAUUUUUAAAUGCCUGAAUGCUCAGAGAUAAAUGUCUGUAGAAGUCCCUGGAAGCAGAAAAAAGCAAACCCCUACAAAUUGGGAAUCCUUUCAGACUGUUGUGAUUUUAUUUUGAAUGCAUGCUCAUCUGAGAAAUUCAGGUUUCUGUUUUCAAAGAUGCUUAUUAAUCAAUGAUCAUUUUAUACUGAAAUACAGAUUGUGGGGCUUUUAUAUUAAGAAAAAAACCUGUA